rnacentral:tRNA from 1 species
CAAGACAUAGCUUUUUAGUUCGCGUGAUUCAUUUACGCUGAUUUUUAGUCUGUGCAAUUCGGAUGUCUUGA